UGGGGGUUCUACUGCUUCUGUGCUUAGGUUGUUGUGAAGACGUUGGGAGCCAAGUGCCGAAUUUGGCAAAAACGCAGAGAUAAUGUUGUUGUGGGGCCAACGUGGGCAUUAGAAUGCCACUGCUCUUCCCCUGGCUGGCUGAGGGGUUUGGGAGAAGAGGCUUUGCCUCUCUGGGACUCCGUUCUCUCAUACAUUCAGCUGGGGACAAUAUACGAGGGUUGAGGGGAGGCGAGACUAGCUGGAAGUACCGGGUACAAUGAAGGGCAGCUACUGGGCUCAGAACGAUGAUGAGGUUUUAGAUACUGAAGCCAGUGUCAGUUAACAUUCGGUUGCAGGGUCGGCCGCAGUGCUUUGGCCUGGACUUUGACCUGUCCCUGGGCCUUGCCUCUCUCCGGUGGCAGCUGGGAUGGCAGAUUCUUUCUGUUCCCUCAGACCAGGACCCCUUUCCUCCCCACCAGCCCAGACAGGGACACCAGAGUGGGCCUCACCUGGCGGCCCCAGAGCUUGCGGAAGAUCUGGAAAUAGGCCAUGGCCAUGAGGCCCAGUGGGGCCAGGUCUCUGGGGUCCCAGCCCCAAGCCUCCUGAAAGAAGGAGGGGAGGAAGGAAGAAAGAACACUAGGAGUGUGCCAGGCACUUUGCAGGUAA